rnacentral:rRNA from 2 species
UUCAACCGCAAAAGAAGCAGAGGGGGCUUAGUGGUGGGGUGACUGCGUACCUUUUGUAUAAUGGGUCAGCGACUUAUAUUCUGUAGCAAGGUUAACCGAAUAGGGGAGCCGGAGGGAAACCGAGUCUUAACCGGGCGUUAAGUUGCAGGGUAUAGACCCGAAACCCGGUGAUCUAGCCAUGGGCAGGUUGAAGGUUGGGUAACACUAACUGGAGGACCGAACCGACUAAUGUUGAAAAAUUAGCGGAUGACCUGUGGCUGGGGGUGAAAGGCCAAUCAAACCGGGAGAUAGCUGGUUCUCCCCGAAAGCUAUUUAGGUAGCGCCUCGUGAAUUCAUCUCCGGGGGUAGAGCACUGUUUCGGCUAGGGGGCCAUCCCGGCUUACCAACCCGAUGCAAACUGCGAAUACCGGAGAAUGUUAUCACGGGAGACACACGGCGGGUGCUAACGUCCGUCGUGAAGAGGGAAACAACCCAGACCGCCAGCUAAGGUCCCAAAGUCAUGGUUAAGUGGGAAACGAUGUGGGAAGGCCCAGACAGCCAGGAUGUUGGCUUAGAAGCAGCCAUCAUUUAAAGAAAGCGUAAUAGCUCACUGGUCGAGUCGGCCUGCGCGGAAGAUGUAACGGGGCUAAACCAU